rnacentral:rRNA from 1 species
AUACGUAGGGGGCGAGCGUUAUCCGGAUUUAUUGGGUUUAAAGGGUGCGCAGGCGGGAGAUUAAGUCGGCGGUGAGAAUUUGGAGCUCAACUGGAGAAGUGCCUUCUAUACUGGUGUUCUUGAGUGUGGAUGGAGGAGGGGGAAUUUGUGGUGUAGCGGGGAAAUGCUUAGAUAUCAGGAGGAACUCCGAUUGCGCAGGCAGCUUUCUAAACCACUACUGACGCUCAGGCACGAAGGCGUGGGGAUCAAACAGGAUUAGAUACCCUGGUAGUCCACGCAGUAAACGAUGAUUACUGGCUGUUUGCGAUACAAUGUAAGCGGCUGAGCGUAAGCGUUAAGUAAUCCACCUGGGGAGGACGUUCGCAAGAAUGAAACUUAAAGGAAUUGGCGGGGG